rnacentral:rRNA from 1 species
UACGUAGGGGGCGAGCGUUGUCCGGAAUUAUUGGGCGUAAAGCGCACGUAGGCGAGUUGUUAAGUUGGGGGUGAAAUCCUGGAGCUCAACUCCAGAACUGCCUCCAAAACUGGCGAUCUUGAGUUCGGGAGAGGUGAGUGGAACUGCGAGUGUAGAGGUGAAAUUCGUAGAUAUUCGCAAGAACACCAGUGGCGAAGGCGGCUCACUGGCCCGAUACUGACGCUGAGGUGCGAAAGCGUGGGGAGCAAACAGG